rnacentral:rRNA from 1 species
CACGUAGGGCGCGAGCGUUGUCCGGAAUUAUUGGGCGUAAAGAGCUCGUAGGCGGCCUGUUGCGUCCGCUGUGAAAGCCCGGGGCUUAACCCCGGGUCGGCAGUGGAUACGGGCAGGCUAGAGGUAGGUAGGGGAGAAUGGAAUUCCCGGUGUAGCGGUGAAAUGCGCAGAUAUCGGGAGGAACACCGGUGGCGAAGGCGGUUCUCUGGGCCUUACCUGACGCUGAGGAGUGAAAGCGUGGGGAGCGAACAGG